UUUGCAGAUUCUGAAGGAUUUUCUGUUAUGGGUUGACAAGGACCUUGGACCUUGGGGUCCAUUUGUGUUGUUGUUGCUUACUUUCCUUUGACAGUCUUGGCGGUUCCAGAUUCAGUGCUUACUGACAUGGCGAGGUUGAUAGGCCAUGAAUUGGUUAAGCUUGAGGAGUACAACAGUGGGCUACCUCCAAAUGUAACGCAUUUCUUCUUUCCCCUUUUCUGUAUG